GUAGGUGGCAAGCGUUGUCCGGAAUUAUUGGGCGUAAAGCGCGCGCAGGCGGUCCUUUAAGUCUGAUGUGAAAGCCCACGGCUCAACCGUGGAGGGUCAUUGGAAACUGGGGGACUUGAGUACAGAAGAGGAAAGCGGAAUUCCAAGUGUAGCGGUGAAAUGCGUAGAGAUUUGGAGGAACACCAGUGGCGAAGGCGGCUUUCUGGUCUGUAACUGACGCUGAGGCGCGAAAGCGUGGGGAGCAAACAGGGAUUAGAUACCCUGGUAGUCCACGCCGUAAACGAUGAGUGCUAAGUGUUAGGUGGUUUCCGCCCCCUUAGUGCUGCAGCUAACGCAUUAAGCACUCCGCCUGGGGAGUACGGCCGCAAGGCUG
rnacentral:rRNA from 1 species